rnacentral:tRNA from 1 species
GAUGCCAAGACGGUCUGCUACCCGCACCCAAGGACA